rnacentral:rRNA from 1 species
UUGGGUUGUAAACCCCUUUUCUCGGGGAAGAAGAAAGUGACGGUACCUGAGGAAUCAGCCUCGGCUAACUCCGUGCCAGCAGCCGCGGUAAUACGGAGGAGGCAAGCGUUAUCCGGAAUGAUUGGGCGUAAAGCGUCCGCAGGUGGCUGGUCAAGUCUGCUGUUAAAUCCAGUAGCUUAACUACUGAGGGGCAGUGGAAACUGACGAGCUAGAGUGCGGUAGGGGCAGAGGGAAUUCCUGGUGUAGCGGUGAAAUGCGUAGAGAUCAGGAAGAACACCGGUGGCGAAAGCGCUCUGCUGGGCCGCAACUGACACUCAGGGACGAAAGCUAGGGGAGCGAAUGGGAUUAGAUACCCCAGUAGUCCUAGCUGUAAACGAUGGAGACUAGGUGUUGCCUGUAUCGACCCGGGCAGUGCCGUAGCUAACGCGUUAAGUCUCCCGCCUGGGGAGUACGCACGCAAGUGUGAAACUCAAAGGAAUUGACGGGGGCCCGCACAAGCGGUGGAGUAUGUGGUUUAAUUCGAUGCAACGCGAAGAACCUUACCAGGGCUUGACAUGUCCGGAACUCUGGGGAAACUCGGAGGUGCCUUCGGGAGCCGGAACACAGGUGGUGCAUGGCUGUCGUCAGCUCGUGUCGUGAGAUGUUGGGUUAAGUCCCGCAACGAGCGCAACCCUCGUUAUUAGUUGCCAGCAUUAAGUUGGGCACUUUAGGGAGACUGCCGGUGACAAACCGGAGGAAGGUGGGGAUGACGUCAAGUCAUCAUGCCCCUUACGUCCUGGGCGACACACGUAAUACAAUGGGAAGGACAAAGGGCAGCCAACUUGCGAAAGAGAGCUAAUCCCAGAAACCUUUCCUCAGUUCAGAUUGCAGGCUGCAACUCGCCUGCAUGAAGGAGGAAUCGCUAGUAAUCGCAGGUCAGCAUACUGCGGUGAAUCCGUUCCCGGGCCUUGUACACACCGCCCGUCACACCAUGGAAGUUAACCAUGCCCGAAGUCAUUACUCUAACCCUUAAGGGAGGGGAAUGCCGAAGGCAGGG